rnacentral:sRNA from 1 species
GAUGUAUUAUUAUGCAGUAUAUAACUUCUGUGUACUUUUGAUGUUUUACACAAGGAAAAUCCUUUCCAUGUGUGGAUGACCUUUUAUUUCUUAAUUGUUAAAUAUAGAUAAUUAGGAAAGUUGAUAAGCAGACCGCAUUAUUGGAUGCAGAUGAUCCUGUGUCACAACUCCAUAAAUGUGCAUUUUACCUUAAGGAUACAGAAAGAAUGUAUUUGUGCCUUUCUCAAGAAAGAAUAAUUCAAUUUCAGGCCACUCCAUGUCCAAAAGAACCAAAUAAAGAGAUGAUAAAUGAUGGCGCUUCCUGGACAAUCAUUAGCACAGAUAAGGCAGAGUAUACAUUUUAUGAGGGAAUGGGCCCUGUCCUUGCCCCAGUCACGCCUGUGCCUGUGGUAGAGAGCCUUCAGGUGAGAACGCCUAGUCCAAGUUGGCCUUCAGCUCUUUGCAGCUACUCUCAGCUGUGACCUGGCAUCAUUUCAUUUCAUGGGAGUUUUGAUUUUUCUCCAAUCGUCUGAUUAGGGGAUUUUUAUAUACACCAUUUGUUGAUUU